GUUUUCCUGCCUGAGCAGAGGGUAAGAAUAGAAAACCUUCAAGGUCCCUUCCAACUCUAUUAUUCUGGUAGGAGAUUAGAAUUUGGGGUAUUGGAUGUUCAUAGAGAAUUGGGGAGAAGGGGGGGAAGAUUUACCUAUAUAAAAUAGCUAGUCUAGAUAAUAUAACUAGUUGCCAACCUCUGUUUUCAUGGAAUAUUUUUGGCCAUCACAAACAAGGUCUAUCACCCACCAUGCUUCAUGUUGUCCCUGGGAUGUCCUGGUAGCCUUUUGUAAUGUGCUGGUCUCCAAAAGUUUUAGACUAAAAGGCAAUCAUCCAGGGAUGGGUUGCUGCCGGCAUUACUGCCGGUUCAGUGCCUCAAAAAUUUUGUGCAUGCGCGCUCACUUCCCUCGCGCACACACCAAACUUGCACUCCACACGUGUGCG